rnacentral:lncRNA from 1 species
AGAUGUAAAAUGCAGCUCUGUCAAAUCAUCCAGUGAAUCUACUUUCAAAUCUCAGCAUAGUCAUUAUCUAGCUGUUUGGCUGUAAACCAGUUGCUUAGCCCCUCUGUGUUAUUUCCUCUAUAUGAAAAUGCCACAGUAAUGGUUCCUGUCUCCUGGGGUGGUUAUAGUGGAUGAGCUAAUAUGUGCCAACUAUCCAGCAUCUCUCUCUAGCUGGUAGGUUAAGUGUGCACUAAAUGGUAAAUUCUGUUCUUAGCUCCUGUGUGCCAGUCCUGAAGUAAUAGUAACAAAAAAGAGAACUAUGUGAGAACUUACAGUUUGCCACCAAAUGUCAAGCCAGGUUUGAAGAAUAAUCAGAGUGGCCAUAGGAUUUCACAGGGAGUAUUGUCUAGUGUGUCAGGACAUACUGGUGCAUCUGAAGAUGUACUCAGAAUGAAAAAAAAAGGUCAUAUAUUCUUGUUAUUGUUUAAUGUGGUAGAAAACAAUCUGGGUUGAAGGGAGGGGCAUGUUUAUCCAAAUGCAAACCCUCAUUCAAUAUCUUUGAAGCUUUUCCUAUGAUGUUAAACUCUUUGAAAUCUUUUAUACGCAACACAUUUGGCACUUAUUUCUAGACUUUACAAAAUUCAUUUAAAUCAAUUAUUCCGAAUAUGUUUUGCCUCCUAAUGAGAUUCUAAACUUGUACGCAGAUAACGUACUUUAUUUUUCCUAAUAGCUUAUAGCACCUGGCAUGGCAUAUUUUAUAUAGUGUUGAUAGAUUAAUAUGUGUUAAUUGAUUGGCCAAAAACAGUAAUGUGAAAAAUCAGUGAUUUUGCUCAAAAAGUUUUGGAGAUGCUGACUAGUCUUCUUUCAGUUGCUCUUGUUCUACAGACAAUAGUUAUAUUUAUUUAUGCUCCUCUGACAUAGUUUUAGGGAACAUUUGAGAAUCUUUCAUAUGUGGUUUAUUAAUAAAAUUAAUUUUGAAGCUGACAUAUUUGCCACCUCACUUUUUAAAAAGCUUACUUUAAAAUUUUCCUCUUAAAAAAAGAACAUGAUGGCUAAAUAGAUUAUCACAUUAAAUGCUGUGUAACUACCACUUACAGAGUUUAACUCACUUCUCUAUAAUUAUUCUUUGAACUCCACUGAAGAGCUGUAAUGUACACUGCUGGUGGCAGUCAGGCCCAAGCCUUGCCUCUCCUGUUUUUUAUUUACUAACUCUUUUGUGAACUAUUAUUUUCAUCCUGUUCAUAACAUCUGUGGUAUAUAAUUAUUUGCAGCCUUCACUUUAUACUUUUUAUUACAUGAGUAGUGACUCGGGUCAGCUGUGAAUUAAAAUGCUAUUUCCCUGGCCAGACUACUUCCCUAGCCCUGCAUGUCUACUUACACACACGUGUGUGUGAGUGUAUGUGUGUGUGCAAGUGUGUAUGUGUAUGUAUAUGUGAGAGAGAGAGAAAGAGAGGAAGGGAGAGGGAGAUGGAGAUGGAGAGAGAGAGAGAAGGAGAAGGAGAAAGAGAAAGAGAAAGGGAAUGGGAAUGAAAAUGACACACUUGCACCUGUCUCUUCCCUUCUGCUCUCCUUCCACAGCUGUCUCUCUCACCUGCUGUAUCCCACAUGUGAGAGCCGCUUGAGUCAUUCUUCAUGGCUAAGUCUCUUUAGAUCCCAUCUGAAAAUGCUGCAGAUACUGGGACCAUCCUGACUCAGUCAGGUGACAUUAGGUCUCUCAUUUUGCUCUUCUGCUCUGAUGAUGAAUACUGGUUUUGGAAACUAAGUACUUUUCUUUUUUUUUUUUUUUUGGUCUUUUUGCUAUUUCUUGGGCUGCUCCUGCGGCACAUGGAGGUUCCCAGGCUAGGGGUCUAAUCGGAGCUGUGGCCGCCAGACUACGCCAGAGCCACAGCAACGCAGGAUCCGAGCCGCGUCUGCAACCUACACCACAACUCACGGCAACGCCGGGUCGUUAACCCACGGAGCAAGGGCAGGGACUGAACCCGCAACCUCAUGGUUCCUAGUCGGAUUCGUCAACCACUGCGCCACGUCGGGAACUUCCUAAGUACUUUUCUUUGACCAAACCCCUUUUGGCCAAGGUCCCUCCUCCUGCUUUCUUGCCUGCUUCUUUGCUCUCCUGGAAUUCUGCCCACUGUCUACUACUAUACUUCCUGCUUUACCACCCACUCAUCCAUGUUUCCUUCCCAGUUCUGCUGGACCUUUUUGCCAAUAUUUACUCUAUUCUGGGCAUCUGUGACUAAAUUCCUGGAUGUCCCUAAUCUACUCCAUAAGCUGCUGAAUCAGCUCCACAUCAUGCCCUUUUUGGGUAGCAUUAGUACCAAAAUGAAGUUUGCCCUGUAAGCCCUACUGUAAGACUGAGUGUUGACAGCAACGUGUAGGCAGCUUGGGGAUUGAAGUCUCCGGAAGGUGGUCCAUGUAAUAUCAUUGUUUCAAAAUAAUUGACAGAGUACCUUUAAAAUAAUUGUUUUAAAUUGGAAUUGAGCAAUAGUGUUAUGCUGUGAUUUUUUAAAUUUUCAUUUAGAAAAAUAAAAUACAUCAUGACAUAAGCGUGAUAUAACACAAUGAGCGUAAGACGUGAAAUUUGAUGAAUAUAAUUUCUACAUAUUGUAUAUAUCAUUUCUUUCCAGAAAAAGGAAAAUGAUUAACUUCAUUAACAUGAAUGAAUAGGCCCUGGGCACCAUUGAAAAAAAGUGUCACUUUUGGUGGGCCUGAAUGCAGGGGCAUGUGGGCUAAGAAGUUUGUAAAUGUAAUGUGUAGAAACUAUUGCUCCAACUAUUAAAAGUUGUUUGUAAUCAAUUGAUUUGUAUAUUUGUCCCAAAGGUAGGCCUUCUUACCUUUGAAAAAUAUACAUUUUAUUUCUAACCUAUAUGUAUUACCCCACUCAGUUUGUAUGACUCCAAUUUCUUGGUUGAAUAGACAUAAGACUUGUCUGAUUUUAACAGCUUUUUUGCUAUUUCAACUUUUAGAAUCUACAUGAUAUAUGAUGUAAUGGAUGGCCCAAUCACAUAUAAAACACUGAGACUAUUUGCUUCUAGUACAGUCAGCACAGCACCUAAACCUGCAAGAUGGAAAUGAGCUACAGUUGACCACUUAUUGUAUUCCAAACAAUAUGCGAAGUGCUCCUGAAACACGUUCUAACAACCUAAUCAGAUUUUCAUUGCUCUCUCUUAGGAAACUAAGACUCAAAGACAUUAAGGAAUUUGCCUACAUAUGUAAUAUUAAAUGGCUGAAUCAGGAUUUGACUCUGUCUGGUGUCCACAGUGGGUCCAUGCUUACCCUAGUCUGUGUUCCAUCAGGAAGUGGAAAUGAAUUAUUAAAAGAAAGUAAAAAAUCAUUCUCUCUCUCUCUUUUCAAAAUGGCCAUACUUGCAGUAUAUGGAUGUUUCCAGGCCAGGGAUUGAAUAAAGUCAUUCUCUCAAAUCUCCUAUGUGUCAGGGUAACAGUAUUCUUCUCCCUAGUAUUUUCUCCUCCGUAUCCAUUGACCAUUUACAGAUCAGCUUCUUGGAAAACACUCUGCUGGGCACAGUGAUGGAACACAAGGAAGCAUAAGAGAGAUGGGUCUCUCCUUCUGGUGGUUUACUUUCUGAUUGAUGGGUCAGAACCAUCUCAGGUUUUGAAAAUGGAGGAAUAUGUCAAAAGAAGAGGGUGGAGGUGAAGCUCCCUGUACCCUGAAGUGGUUGGGAGAUGAUUCAGAGUAGAAAAAACAGGAGCUACUUUGAAGAAGUGUUUGAGGCCAGAAUAGAUGGCCUGGAUGAUGAUCUAUUAUUUCUCAACAGACGCUUUGAAACAUGUUUAUGUCUAUUCAUCAAAGGCACUUGACUUUUCUUUGAAUUUUUUAAUAGUUUUUAACUUUUUAAUAGUUGAAAUUUAGACUAAUGUGGUUUGUUUUGAAUAUAAUCUACAUCUCCCACUUCUAAAAUAUGAAGCCCACAAUAGCCCAUGCCUGACUUGUUGACGUCUUUAACUCUAACACCUACAACUGUUCUUGGCCUGUAGUAAAUUCUUCAUAAAAUUCUGGUGAGUUAGGCAUGACUGGCAAAAGGAUUCUGCAUUCUGCUUUAUAAUUACUAAAAUAGCUCAUUUUGAAGAGUUUUGCAUUGUUGAAGCUUUUUAAAAUAAAUUAUCUGGUCCAUUGUUACAUACAAUGGGUAUUUAUGAGGUUUAUCAUUUUGUUGUAGUAUUUGUACUUGUGAUAAAAACUUCUACUAGGGUCUCACUUUCAAUAUGUUCUUAUAAAAUAUAUAGAGGUCCUGUUUUACUCUUAUAAAUUAAAAUUCAUAAAUAAAAUAAUAUAGUGAGAUAAGAUAGAUGACACAGAUUAUAUAACACUUAAUUUUAAAACUCAGUAUAAUUCCAUAUUAUUAAUAUAAAGGAGGGAUGUGAGGAAAACUACUUUUUUGAAACUCUGUGUACCUCAAUCUGAAAUGUUCGGGCAUGUGAAGAGUUGAAAUCAUAAAAGGUAGUCAGCAGCUUAUACCUAAAUGUAGACUCUCCAUGAAUAUAUAGCCACAUUGCACAUCAAUGGAAGUACUUCAUAUUAAUGACUCAUACUAUGGGAGGAGUUGCAGUUGGUAACUUGUUUAUUUUUGAAUUGAUGAACAACUCUUGGUAAAUUUUCUAACCAAAUAAAUUUUAUACUUCUCCAGGUUUACAUAGUGGUCACAUUCU